CCUGUAUCUUGCCCUGACCUCCUUUCUCACUGUGUGACUAGGAAUGCCUAACAUUCUGGGAAUGUUGCCCAGUAGGUCUCAGCCUGAUUUUAGCCUGCCCCUAUUCAAGAGUUGCUCUGCUGAAACACCUCUGACACUGAGACAGAGCAGGGCUCCCUUUGUGAGGGCCCAAGGGCCUGUGAAGCAUGGAAAUAAAGAAAGAUCUUGAGUUCCUUCAAAGAAAAUUCUAGGCACCUAGCUGGCCCUGAGAAGUCAGUGAGCAACUCAGUGAGUAAAAAGUAGCAGUAGCUUAAAGCACUAACCUGGAAGCUAGAGUCAUGAGAUGCUUGGCUUCCUAUAGAAACUAAAGACAGCAUCUUCGCAUACAUCCCCAAGUUGCUUUUUCAGAAACCCAGACCCCACCAAACGGAUCUGCUUGCACAGACCUCAGCUCUCUCUGUCAUCCGUAAAUCCAGAUCUCUGGUUAUUCAUCACUGAUUAAAAUUCAGGUAAGUUUGUCCAAGUUGUCGAGACGUGUUCAUCUGGCUGCACGGAGUGGAGGAGAACUCUUCUGACAAGCACUGCCGGGCAACCCGUUUCCAGCCCUGCCUGUGUGCACCUUGAGAGCCGCCUGCUGCCUCCCACUCCCGAGAUUGUUGAGAUUUCUGGGACUUCAUGUUGGCUUCUCCUUUGUACUGCCCUUGCAGGUUAAAUGCUGCUAAGUGGAGAGAGUGAUGUGGAGCUUGGAACCAGCCUUUGCAGUGUCAGCUCAGGAUUCCCUGGGGCCAUUUAAGCCACAGAGCACAUCAAUUUUCAAAUCAUCUGGAACCCUUCAUUCAAUGUUGAAUUUUAAUUCGAUGGAAGAAGGAAGACCUGAGAAGACUGCAAAUUGCUUCCCUUUGAUUGGUAGAGUCUGGAUUCCAUAACUGCAAAUGCAUUGCUGUGUAACGAUUACAAAACUGGAAUGUCAACACAGAAUUGAUUUUCACAAUGAGAAAUGUCUUUAAGAGCAGCGUUCUUCUUCUUGGUACCUGAAGCAGCAAGUUCCAUAUGAGAUCUCUGAACAUGAACUAAAGUGGGGAGUGGACUAGGGCAUGGCCUCCACAGUGGUGGUCUUGUGAGAACUGGGGCCUCUUCAGUGCCUGCUGAGCAAAGACCCUGGAGGAAGAGGCGAUGGCCAAUACUGUGGUGCCCUGACACGCAGACUCUGUUUUCUGCCAGCAUCUCACUGUCACUUCAUUUGCUCACACUGGACUCACAGACAGAAAAAAAUGUAGCACAUCCCACCUUCCCCAGGGCCAGCGGCGAAGUGGUGUGUGAGCCUG
rnacentral:lncRNA from 13 species